rnacentral:rRNA from 1 species
AUGGACUGCGGCGGCGACGGCGGGAUGGACGCGCUGCCGGACGGCGUGGUGCAGGCCAUCCUCUCCCGGCUCAGCAGCGCCCGCGACGUGGCCGCCUGCGCGGGCGUCUCCCGCAGCUGGCGCGACUGCGUGCCCUUCCUCCCGUUCCUCUACUUCCCGCGGAGCGCCUUCGACGCCGCGAGGGGCGGCGGCGUCGCGUGCGCCGACGACGCCAUCGGCCGCAUGGUCCACGCCGCGGCGCGCCUCGAGGAGCUCGUCAUCUACUGCCCCUUCUCCGCCGCGCGCCUCCCGCGCUGGCUCGCCGCGCGGAGCGCCUCGCUGCGCGUGCUCGAGCUCCGGGUCGACUCCGCCUGGUCCGGAUCCGGAUCCGGCCACCUCGACUGCGUCGCCGCCGCCCCCAACCUCGAGGAGCUGCGGCUCUGGGGGCUCACCAUGACGCGCGAGCCGGCCUGGGGCCGGCUCGACCGGCUCCGCGUGCUGGAGAUCGUCGGCGCGUCCCUGGCGGACCUCGCCGUCAGCGGCGCCGUCGACGCCUGCCCCAAUCUCACCGACCUCGCCCUGCUCGGCUGCGAGUGCUCCGGCUCCGUCUUCUUGGCGACGCCCCUGCUCCAGCGCUGCCGCCUCGACUUCGUCGGCUCCGGCACCUGCUCGCUCGCGCUCGCCGCGCCCCUUGUCGAGUCCCUCGAGGUCCAGGGUUUCAACUAUAUCACCCUGCACGGCGGCGACCGCCUCAAACGCCUCACAAUUUCCAAGAACACCGGGAGGGUGAAUACUGUCGGGAUAGACAGGCUCCCGGUGUUGGAGCAGCUGUCUCUGCGUGGCGUCCAGUGGAGCUGGGGAGCCGUCAGCCAUGUGCUGCAAUGCGGCGCCGAGGCCAAGCAUCUGGUGAUGAAGGUUGAGUUCUGCGGUGAUUCCGACACUCUCCAGCCGUUUCCCGAGGUCGACCUUGUUGAAUUCUUCAACAGCCACCCGAAGCUCUGCAAGUUUGAGGUCCACGGCGCCAUGUUUGCGUCGCUCUGCCAAAAGAACAGCCUGAAAAAUCUGGACUCGAGGUUCCUGAUAUCUUCAUUGGAGGAGGUCCUGAUCACCGUGCGCUCACCCUUGAAUGCCGAGCAGAAGCUGAUCACCAUCGAGUCCCUUGUCAGGUACAGUCCUAUGCUGCGGAGGAUGGUCCUUAGGAUCUCGCAGAUGAAGAACUGCCACGAGGCUGCAGAUGAAUUCUUUGAAGAGGUUUCCAAGUUUGCGCAUAUGAGUAAUGGCAGAGUGCGGAUUGAAUAG